rnacentral:lncRNA from 1 species
CCCUUUGUAUAUGCCAUGGCUGCAGAGGCCAGAUGGAGACCACAGUGGUGGCGAUUAUGAUAAGGGGCUGACGGCGGGGGAGGGCGCUAAGGUAGGGAGUGGGGGUAGGCUAUGGGAAUGGGUGGCUGCCUAUCGGCCCACUGAUCAGCUGAUUGGCAGCCGUUAGAAAGGUGUAUUUUUAAAUUUUAUUUAUUUUACAAAGGAUUAAUAUAAACAGGAAAAUAUGUGUUGAUCCAUAUUCGUUGGGACUUAAAAUUUGACGAAUAUGGAACAACGAAUAUUUAAUGAAUCGGCUAUUGUCAAAAAAGCUGAUCAAUGUUUAUAUUUGUCCUCAUCUCUAAUUAUAUGUGAAGAAGCAAGCGGGCACAUUUAUUUUACAUUUGAUCAUAUGAAGCAGGAUCAGGUUAGAGGUUUCUCUGCACAGGGGAGACCAGGCAAGAUCUGCAUUCCUCUCCAGCCUUACAUCAUUGCAUUCUGCUACUUUAAGCAGUUUUCUGCCUGGAUAAUUGGGAAAUCUUGUUGGAAUCUUCUUGAAUUCAAAAGUGUUAAGUUGAUCCAGAUAAAGCAUCUUGCAAACAUCUUAUUCCCCUUCAUUCCAAAAAGGUUAUUGGCAUCUAAUGGAACUCAAGUGUGGGAAUGUAACACGUGUUCUUGUUUCUUGAUCCUCUUUUGUCCUGUAGAGGUGGCUGGUGCAGGAAACAAGAAGAAGAGGUAUGAACCUGUUGUCACCAGACUGAGUGAGUGAAUGAGAAGGUGACUGGAUAUCAAGAGGAGGUGGAGGAGAAGAAUACAUAAAUCAAUUCUCUUGUUCUAUGCAGACUCCCUGUUAGGCUAUGGCAAUGAAUGAUUAUCUGGGACAAAUACUGUACAACAUGCAAUCAGUGUACAGUAUGAUUAAUCUGAAUUCUUCAUAGCCUUUCACUAGUAAUGUACAACUUACAAUCAUAUACGUAUAAUAUGUAUCAAUGCAUAUUUUUCAUGUUGUGAAUUUUUAAAAAUCUUGUUUAAAAAAACACAUUAAUGUGGAAAGCAUGUAGAGUGGUCGAAAUGACUAGAUAGGCGGGGUAUAAAUACAAUAAAUAAAUAAACAAACAAAUAAAUAAAAAAAUA